CACACACACACACACACACACACACACACACACACAUACACAUAUAUAUAUAUCUAUGCAUAUUAUUUUUCUUUUUUUUCUUUCAGUGAAGCAAGAAAGUUUCUGCCCUGCAGACCGAUGAACAAAGUGGCCGAGGAAAAUGAAAGGAGGCUUUUCUGCAAGUUACUUGAUAUGAACCUGCAUCACGUCAAGAUGACAAGACUCAUAAGUGUGCCAGGAGGGUGCGCUUUUGACCCGGGUUUACUUCGCAAUGCUUUGAGUAGCAUUUGAAGCAAGCAUUUGGAGCAAGCAAUUAAAGUAAGCAGUUGAGGCAAAUGUUUGAAACAAGCAUCUGAAGCAAGUAUUUAAGCCAAGCAUUUGAAACAAGAAUUUGCAGCAAGCGUUUUGAAGCAAGUAUUUGAAGCAAGAAUAUGCUGCAAUAGUCUAAGCAAGCCAUUGAAGCAAACGUGUAAAACAAGUAUUGAAACCAAGCGUUUGAAACAAAUAUCUGAAGCAAACACAAACGCACACACACUUUUAUACACACAACCGCAGCCAAACAGAUUUAUGAAAACCUUAUCCUGUUCAUCAAAUACAUUCUUUGUGACUUUUGUAUAAUAUUUGUGAUGAUUCUUCUUCCUUAUCCAAAUGCCCUACAAAUGUAAUGAAGAUGGUAAUAAAUGUGAUAAAUAUA